UUUUCUUUUCUUUCUUUCUUUUUUUUUUUCUUUUUAAGGAUUUUCGAGUAAUUUUCCAUUAAAACUUUACGUCGUAUCUGAAGAUUUUAUCGAAUAAAACGAUUUGCGUUCGAAAAAAAGAAAAAGAAAAGGUUCCACGUAAAGUGCUGUUACGAACGUCCGGUAAUGAGCGCGACCGAGUGUGUUCACUUAUACGUCCGUGACACUCUUCGAUAUUUCCGUGCAACUAAUGCAUCGCGUUCUUAUUUACGAGAAAGGAAUAUCGGUAAAUAAUCUACCGUCGGUAACGAAGAUCGUUUUAUAAUCAACUGGAGAUAAAGAAGUUUUUACGGUGGAUAACAUAGAAAACUGUAUACAUUUUUAUGUAUCAUCGUGGCUCCAUAGAUAGCACCACUAUCAUUUUCGAAAGUAAAAGGGUUGUUUCUUGGAUGUUACAACAGGGUUUUUAUUUUACAAAAAAGGAAAAAAGAAGACAAAAUAAAAAAAAAAAGAAGCAAAAGAAAUAAAUAAUCAUUAUAAAAUGAUUAAAAUUACUCAAAGUACAUAUAUCGAAGAAUUGUAAAAGAUCGAUAAGAAGAUAGGAUGUACCGGUUCAAGGCGAAGGAACGUACUUUAACAAGCGACACCGGCUAUUAGCAGAAUUGUAUGGCUUAUCUCUGAACGAGUCGCCGCACCUUCUUACAGACGCUGCCAGAAUCGAGAGGUUGGUCGAGUGCCUUUAGAAAACUCAGCGCCCCUUUUCGUAGGAGCGAGUUUCACAAAGCCGUCUUUUAUGACGUCGCUUUCGCUUUCCUCUUGCUCGAUGUA